UGGUUCUGGCAUCGAUGAAGAACGCAGCGAAAUGCGAUAAGUAAUGCGAAUUGCAGAAUUCCAGUGAGUCAUCGAAUCUUUGAACGCACAUUGCGCCCUUUGGUAUUCCGAAGGGCAUGCCUGUUCGAGCGUCAUUAUCACCCCUCAAGCCCCCGGGUUUGGUGUUGGACGGCGGGGGAGCGAUCCCCCCCUCCGAAAGACAAUGACGGCGGCCUGUGGGACCCCGGUACACUGAGCUUUCCAAGCACGUAUCGCCCGGCCCCAGGACCCGUCCCCCCUCUUCUCCGGAAGAACUUUUUCUAGGUUGACCUCGGAUCAGGUAGGAAUACCCGCUGA
rnacentral:misc_RNA from 1 species